UACGGAGGGUGCAAGCGUUAUCCGGAUUCACUGGGUUUAAAGGGAGCGUAGGUGGGCUGGUAAGUCAGUGGUGAAAUCUCCGAGCUUAACUUGGAAACUGCCAUUGAUACUAUUAGUCUUGAAUAUUGUGGAGGUCAGCGGAAUAUGUCAUGUAGCGGUGAAAUGCUUAGAGAUGACAUAGAACACCAAUUGCGAAGGCAGCUGGCUACGCAUAUAUUGACACUGAGGCUCGAAAGCGUGGGGAUCAAACAGG
rnacentral:rRNA from 1 species